AAUACCUUUAUGCGGGUAGUCGAUCACCGCAAUCUGAUCACCGUCGGGAGGAUCUGAUUACCGCAAUACAGCUACACAGUGUGUCUGGUCUCUGUGGAUUGUCCACAUGAGGCUCCCGAUCUGAUCGGCUCCUCAUGAGUGCUAGCUCGUUGUAGAGCCUUUUCGAUGACUGAUGCUGAUCGAACUCCUUCGAUCGAUGUCUGUCAAUUCCAUGGAUACUCC
rnacentral:lncRNA from 1 species